UGGGGAAUAUUGCACAAUGGGGGAAACCCUGAUGCAGCCAUGCCGCGUGUGUGAAGAAGGCCUUCGGGUUGUAAAGCACUUUCAGCGUGGAGGGAAGGUUGAUGCCAUAUACNUAUCAACUGUGACGUUACUCGCAGA
rnacentral:rRNA from 1 species